UAGGUACACGUAUAUCUUAUAUUAAGUUAUUAGCUUUUAGCCUUGUUCAUAUCGAGGUUUCUUAUUCAUAAACAAGAACUGACGUUGAAUCCCAUGAAAUUUUAUGCCUACGCAUUUGAGAAGGACGCAUAAGUAAAUAGAAAGAUUCAGCAUGUCACAAAUUAAGGAAGCAGGAAAUUACAGCUGUGGCCACCAUGUAAUAUACCAUAUGGGUGUCUUACACAAUUAAAUAUUAGGAAAUUUAUUUUCA
rnacentral:lncRNA from 1 species